rnacentral:rRNA from 1 species
UUUUUAUUUUUUUAUUGUUUAUUAUUAAUUAAAUAAAAAAUUUUAUUGGGGUGAUGAAAAAAUUUAAGAAACUUUUAAGAAUUUAUUCAUAAAUAUAUGAAAUUAUUAUAAACUUUAAUUUAAAAAUUUAGAUUAAAA